AUCGAGCUCAUAUUAAAAUAUUAAAAAUUAAAAAUUAUUUAAGAUCAAAAUAUAAUAUAAUAAUAUUAACAUUUUUUGCAUCAAAAACUGUUAUUACUUUCUAGUAGAGCAUAAAUAAAAAUAAUCAUGAAUUAACUAUUCGUAUAGAGUUUAUAAAAAAAUUAUAUAUAAAUAUGGUGACACACAAAAAUUAAUUUUUAAAUAUUUUCAAUAGUAAAAAUUGAAAAUAUCAUAAAAA
rnacentral:lncRNA from 1 species